GGUCAAGUGAAGAAGCGCAUACGGUGGAUGCCUUGGCAGUCAGAGGCGAUGAAAGACGUGGUAGCCUGCGAAAAGCUUCGGGAGUCGGCAAACAGACUUUGAUCCGGAGAUCUCUGAAUGGGGAACCCACCUAGGAUAACCUAGGUAUCUUGUACUGAAUCCAUAGGUGCAAGAGGCGAACCAGGGGAACUGAAACAUCUAAGUACCCUGAGGAAAAGAAAUCAACCGAGAUUCCCUUAGUAGUGGCGAGCGAACGGGGAUUAGCCCUUAAGCUUCAUUGAUUUUAGCGGAACGCUCUGGAAAGUGCGGCCAUAGUGGGUGAUAGCCCCGUACGCGAAAGGAUCUUUGAAGUGAAAUCGAGUAGGACGGAGCACGAGAAACUUUGUCUGAACAUGGGGGGACCAUCCUCCAAGGCUAAAUACUACUGACUGACCGAUAGUGAACCAGUACCGUGAGGGAAAGGCGAAAAGAACCCCGGAGAGGGGAGUGAAAUAGAACCUGAAACCGUAUGCGUACAAGCAGUGGGAGCCUACUUGUUAGGUGACUGCGUACCUUUUAUAAUGGGUCAGCGACUUAUAUUCAGUGGCAAGCUUAACCGUAUAGGGUAGGCGUAGCGAAAGCGAGUCUUAAUAGGGCGUUUAGUCGCUGGGUAUAGACCCGAAACCGGGCGAUCUAUCCAUGAGCAGGUUGAAGGUUAGGUAACACUGACUGGAGGACCGAACCCACUCCCGUUGAAAAGGUAGGGGAUGACUUGUGGAUCGGAGUGAAAGGCUAAUCAAGCUCGGAGAUAGCUGGUUCUCCUCGAAAGCUAUUUAGGUAGCGCCUCAUGUAUCACUCUGGGGGGUAGAGCACUGUUUCGGCUAGGGGGUCAUCCCGACUUACCAAACCGAUGCAAACUCCGAAUACCCAGAAGUGCCGAGCAUGGGAGACACACGGCGGGUGCUAACGUCCGUCGUGAAAAGGGAAACAACCCAGACCGCCAGCUAAGGUCCCAAAGUUGUGGUUAAGUGGUAAACGAUGUGGGAAGGCUUAGACAGCUAGGAGGUUGGCUUAGAAGCAGCCAUCCUUUAAAGAAAGCGUAAUAGCUCACUAGUCGAGUCGGCCUGCGCGGAAGAUGUAACGGGGCUCAAACCACACACCGAAGCUGCGGGUGUCACGUAAGUGACGCGGUAGAGGAGCGUUCUGUAAGCCUGUGAAGGUGAGUUGAGAAGCUUGCUGGAGGUAUCAGAAGUGCGAAUGCUGACAUGAGUAACGACAAUGGGUGUGAAAAACACCCACGCCGAAAGACCAAGGGUUCCUGCGCAACGUUAAUCGACGCAGGGUUAGUCGGUUCCUAAGGCGAGGCUGAAAAGCGUAGUCGAUGGGAAACAGGUUAAUAUUCCUGUACUUCUGGUUACUGCGAUGGAGGGACGGAGAAGGCUAGGCCAGCUUGGCGUUGGUUGUCCAAGUUUAAGGUGGUAGGCUGAAAUCUUAGGUAAAUCCGGGGUUUCAAGGCCGAGAGCUGAUGACGAGUCGUCUUUUAGAUGACGAAGUGGUUGAUGCCAUGCUUCCAAGAAAAGCUUCUAAGCUUCAGGUAACCAGGAACCGUACCCCAAACCGACACAGGUGGUCGGGUAGAGAAUACCAAGGCGCUUGAGAGAACUCGGGUGAAGGAACUAGGCAAAAUGGCACCGUAACUUCGGGAGAAGGUGCGCCGGCUAGGGUGAAGGAUUUACUCCGUAAGCUCUGGCUGGUCGAAGAUACCAGGCCGCUGCGACUGUUUAUUUUCCAUCGAAAGGUUAAAACCACCGGCUUUCAGCCGGUGAGCUUUAGCGCCACCAUGCGGGGCUGGAGGGCAAGCGCAUGGAUUACAGAUACGGCAGUCAUACGGUCUACCAGAUCGAGUAUCACUUUGUUUGGGUGACUAAGUACCGAUACAAGGUGCUCAGCGGUGAGGUUGCUGAGCGAGUGCGAGAGCUGGUGAGACAGACGUGCGAAGCAUUUGAAAUUCGGAUUGUGAAAGGUGUGGUGAGCAAGGAUCACGUGCAUAUUCUGGUGAGCAGUCCGCCGAAUUUGGCGCCGAGUGAGAUCAUGAGGCGGAUCAAGGGGCGUACGGCGAGCAAGCUUUUCGAGGAGUUUCCCCAUCUGAAAAAGCGCUAUUGGGGGCAGCAUUUUUGGGCUCGCGGGUACUUUUGCGCGACGGUUGGGCAGAUGACGGAAGAGAUGAUCAAGCAGUAUCUGGAGCAUCAUUUUGAGCCGAGCCCGAACGAUAAUUUCAGGAUGGAGCCUGACUGAUCCGACGCGUCGUUCAGUCGACGCGUAUCCGGACUUUCAGUCCGUAAGUCACUAACCCACCGACUUCAGUCGGUGGUUGUUGAGUAAAAACACAGCACUCUGCAAACACGAAAGUGGACGUAUAGGGUGUGACGCCUGCCCGGUGCCGGAAGGUUAAUUGAUGGGGUUAGCGCAAGCGAAGCUCUUGAUCGAAGCCCCGGUAAACGGCGGCCGUAACUAUAACGGUCCUAAGGUAGCGAAAUUCCUUGUCGGGUAAGUUCCGACCUGCACGAAUGGCGUAACGAUGGCGGCGCUGUCUCCACCCGAGACUCAGUGAAAUUGAAAUCGCUGUGAAGAUGCAGUGUAUCCGCGGCUAGACGGAAAGACCCCGUGAACCUUUACUGUAGCUUUGCACUGGACUUUGAGCCUGCUUGUGUAGGAUAGGUGGGAGGCUUUGAAGCGUGGACGCCAGUUCGCGUGGAGCCAUCCUUGAAAUACCACACUGGCAUGCUUGAGGUUCUAACUCUGGUCCGUGAUCCGGAUCGAGGACAGUGUAUGGUGGGCAGUUUGACUGGGGCGGUCUCCUCCUAAAGAGUAACGGAGGAGUACGAAGGUGCGCUCAGACCGGUCGGAAAUCGGUCGCAGAGUAUAAAGGCAAAAGCGCGCUUGACUGCGAGACAGACACGUCGAGCAGGUACGAAAGUAGGUCUUAGUGAUCCGGUGGUUCUGUAUGGAAGGGCCAUCGCUCAACGGAUAAAAGGUACUCCGGGGAUAACAGGCUGAUACCGCCCAAGAGUUCAUAUCGACGGCGGUGUUUGGCACCUCGAUGUCGGCUCAUCACAUCCUGGGGCUGAAGCCGGUCCCAAGGGUAUGGCUGUUCGCCAUUUAAAGUGGUACGCGAGCUGGGUUUAGAACGUCGUGAGACAGUUCGGUCCCUAUCUGCCGUGGACGUUUGAGAUUUGAGAGGGGCUGCUCCUAGUACGAGAGGACCGGAGUGGACGAACCUCUGGUGUUCCGGUUGUCACGCCAGUGGCAUUGCCGGGUAGCUAUGUUCGGAAAAGAUAACCGCUGAAAGCAUCUAAGCGGGAAACUUGCCUCAAGAUGAGAUCUCACUGGGAACUUGAUUCCCCUGAAGGGCCGUCGAAGACUACGACGUUGAUAGGCUGGGUGUGUAAGCGUUGUGAGGCGUUGAGCUAACCAGUACUAAUUGCCCGUGAGGCUUGACCAU
rnacentral:rRNA from 1 species